GCCUACGGCCACACCACCCUGAAAGCACCCGAUCUCUGAAGUGAUACAGGGCCGGGCCUGGUUAGUACCUGGAUGGGAGACCGCCUGGGAAUACCAGGUGUUGUAGGCU
rnacentral:rRNA from 1 species